rnacentral:lncRNA from 1 species
AGAAAACGUAACUUUGGAUCCAGACACAGCACAUCCCCGCCUCAUCCUGUCUGAGGAUCGAAAGAGUGUGAGAGAUGGAGAAGUGCGUAGACGCCUGCCGAACAACCCUGAGAGAUUUGACACACAUGGCGAUGUGCUGGGAUGUGAGGGUUUCACAUCAGGCAGACAUUUCUGGGAGGUCAUUGUGGGAAGAGAGGAGAGGUGGGGGGUGGGGGUGGCCAGAAAGUCUGUGAAGAGGAAGGGUGAGUUCUGUUACAAUACUAGGGAAGGGAUCUGGGGUUUGGGGAAGUGGGACGGUGGGUACAAGUUAUGCUCCCCCCUUGAUGCCCCUGUUCCAAGUGAGGAGCCAAGAAGAUCCGAGUGACUCUGAACUGUGAAGGGGGACAGGUGUCCUUUUAUGAUGCUGAUACAGCAGCCCUUCUCCACGCAUAUCCGGCAGCCCCCUUCUCAGGAGAGACCCUCCAGCCCUUGUUUUACGUUGGCAAGAAGGAGAACCUGAUACUAUGUUGACCGAGAUGGAGACAGGCAAGCUUAUAUUCAUUGGCAUCAUGGCACAUUAAGGCUCCUCUUCAGGACUGAGCUGAAGGAGAAACCUUAUUUGCAGAACUGUGAUUGGCCAUCCCUUGUGUCAAUCAUGAUACAACUCUCCCUUCUUGGGCCAGUUUUGUAAAUGACACUGAUUGAUUGGGUCCCCUGUCAGUCCCCAAACUUGCCUGUUCUCUCUCCCUUGGGAAUCUGUUAUUCGUGUCUGUGCAGAAGGUGCAAAAGGAGGAAAGAAGCAAGAAAAUAAUUUAGUAAACAACAGCAACCCCACACACAUUCCAGUUUAGAUGUAGUUCUCUCUCUUGACAAGUUUUCUACAGACAAUACCAUCAUCUUUUCUGAAUAAAACCAGAAUUAUGCACGAACAUCACUUAAAACCUUCCUCAGCCUCAAUCCUGUUCUCAGAUUCCCUUUUCCUCCUCCAAGAUCUCCACUGGCCAGGGAGAUGGAAGUUCCAAAAUCCAUUUUUUUGCUACUCCUCAGGGAAGCUUAUGUGGCAAUUCAGCAAAAUCUCCAUAUCCAAAGAGACCUGUUUGCUAGUUUGAGUACAGGCGGUCCAAAACUCAUACACAACUUAACUUGCGUGAUCACGGCCUGAAGCCCUUCGUCAAAACGAAUUACUAAAUAGAAAGAGGGUGAGUCCGGGAAAAUCUCUUGCAAGGGACUGUAUGAGAUCUCACAAGGGGGGGGGGACUUUGGCAGUGGGGGGAAAGAGUUUCUAAGUCUACCUUGCUUUCUGGCCUCUAGAAAGGUUGCAUAAAGCUCUCAAAAUCUCUGGCUUCGAACAAGUAGGGAUGAUGAAGAAGAGGGGUUUGGACUUGAUAUCCCGCUUUAUCACUACCCGAAGGAGUCUCAAAGCGGCCAACAAUCUCCUUUCCCUUUCUCCCCCACAACAAACACCCUGUGAGGUGAGAGGCUGAGAGACUUCAGAGAAGUGUGACUAGCCCAAGGUCACCCAGCAGCUGCAUGUGGAGGAGCGGGGAAGAGAACGCGGUUCACCAGAUUAUGAGUCCACCGCUCUUAACCACUACACCAUGCUGGUUGUGUGGGGGGCAUUUUUGAGGGUCUUCCUGACUUGUGCAAUAUUGCCUUUGCAUGCUGACUCCAGGAAUGUAACCCUCACAUAGGUUUCAGGCCUCGAUGGAACAAAAUCCCCUCUGACAGUGAAGAGCCUCUGUCAGAAAUUCUCAGGAAAGAAGAAUGACAAUCUAGAGGAUUUCACAUGGGGAGGGGGAUUCCCAUGUACAGUGGUACCUCGGGUUAAGAACUUAAUUUGUUCUGGACUUCUGGGGUGGCGCCUCCGGCAAUGGCUGCCUCCCUUCUGAACUGGAGGGACCAGCUCCGCGUGAAACGGGUCGUAUCCGCUGCGGCGAAGAGGGGACCCUUUCAAAAAUCACAGGCGGAUGAAGCCUGUGACCAUGGGACUCGGCGGGCACCUUUAGCACCCCCCAACCCACUAAGGAACCCACCAACGGGCUCCAAAGUGAAGAGGGGGAAGCGGCGCGGUGCUGAGAGUCAUCAGCUAUUUCCGUGGAGCGAAGCCGCAUUGCUGUUGCCGGAGAGCGCUGCCUUUUCCUGGAACAAUUGGGACUUUAAAACAACAACCCGUGAGUAGUACGGAAAUUGGAUCCUUUAAAUAUUUUUAAAUUCGGCACUGAUCGGGGAAGGUACAACCAGGAAGUCUGCCUCCCGUUUCUGUAAAUAUUUUAAAGCAAAGAACCUCCAACUAAGGUCGUGGAGAACUCUACUUUUUAUAAAAGAUUUUAAUUCUACCGAUUGAAAUCACAAGGAAACUUACUUGGAAGCAGGGGAACCUGCGGGAGAAGAACUAAAUUUAAAAACCGACGUGCCACCCCCCGCUGGACCCAGGAGUGGUCCGUGAGAGCCAGUUGAGGAGUAAUUGAAUAAUUUGACAGCUGUCAAGUUAGCUGUCAAGAUACAAAAAGAGGAUUUUGUCUCUGCUGCUUAUAUUGGCUACAAUGUAAGUAUUGGUUACAUUUUUAUGUUUUAAAAGAAGGAAGGACUGCUACAAUUUAACGUAUGGAACUUUUGGUUUUGUGCUGAAAGGAGCAAAAAGAAGCUUAAAUCCCCCUAGAGGGAGUUUUGGGACAUUGCAUUAAGAACCAGCUGAGAAAUUGUUUUCUGGCCUUGAUAUGUUUAAGAAUGGCACUGGGUAAAGAAAUACAGUCUGAACUGAACAAGACUUUCUUUCUCUUGGGAAAGCUGCAAGAUCAAAUAGGUGUUUUGACUACAAAUCUUACAACCUUGGGCACAAGAGCCAGUUCUAGCAAUGAGCUUGAUAAGAACUUGGUACAGGAUUUCUACUUAGCUGAACAAACAGAGGAAAUCGAGAAGGAGAAUAAUGCUGCCAUUGAAGAGAAAAAAGGGGGGGACCCAACCCUGCAGAUGCAAAAGGUGAGCUGUAACCUGAGGCCUGACACGAUGGUAAUAAGAAGAAACAAACCUUUGAAGAUGGAAGCCUGGCCUGAAUUGGAAAAUGAAAAAUGGAGAGAUCUCCUUAUCUGGAGAUCAUAUGACACUUGGAUUAUAAAUUUGAUCCAGUUGGAAGUUAGAGCUAUAGGGACAUUUGGAAUCUUAAGGAGAAUGAAACAAGAUGUGGAAUACCCUAUAGGCCUUACUUUCAAGUAUGUAGGCCUGGCUGGAAGAAACUUGGGUGCUGCAGGGCGGGAGCCCCAUUGAGAUUUGGUCUUGAAUAUUAAAGACUAUCAAAGAGACUGGCAGAGAGGUCAGGAGAGAGACUUAAGAGCCUCGGACAUAAGGUCACCGGGUUGAUGGUUUUAUUUUGAGAUCUGUUGGGACUGAAACUGGGAAGGGGGGUGGGUGGAAUGAAAAAUGGAAAGGGUACAUGAUAUAAGUUGCUUUUUUGUUCAAUCUUUUUUUUGUCUUAUUUCUAGGAGAACUGGAAAUUUGUGGAAGGGAACCUUCUUUCGACCUUAGGGAAAUGUUUUAAGAAUAAGCACCGUUAUAUAGAUUUGGAUGAGAAUUAAGUUUGGAUAAAGUUAAAAAGCGGGUUAUAUAAAGAAAAAUAUGGUAAAACUAAGGUUUUGGUGAUAAGGGCUUGAUGAACUAACAAUUUGAACUGGAACAUAAGGAUUUGUUGAAUUAAAAAGAAGCAGGUUAAAAUUUAUUGACAGGGAUUUGCUGAAUUAACAAUUUGAAUUGGAAUACAAAAAAGGGAGGUAGGAGGAGGUCUGGGAAAUAAGUUAAUGGAAAAUAAGUUAUGGAAACUUUAUGUGUUUUUAAUUAUUUUUAUUUUUGUAUUUUUGUUAUUUUUUCUGUUUUUUAUUUUUGAUUUUUUCUUAUUGUAUUAAUAUUGAAAACUUUAAUGAAUAUCUUGUUAAAAAAAAAAGAACUUAAUUUGUUCUGGAGGUCCAUUCUUAACCUGAAACUGUUCUUAACCUGAGGUACCACUUUAGCUAAUGGGGCCUCCCACUGCUGCUUCACCACCGCCACACAAUUUCUGUUCUUAUCCUGAAGCAAAGUUCUUAACCCGAGGUACUAUUUCUGAUUUAGCGGAGUCUGUAACCCGAAGCAUCUGUAACUCGAGAUACCACUGUAUACAAUUAUUUUCUCCAAGGUGCUUUGUAGUGAACAGUCAGAUACUUGCCCGUAUUUUUAGAGAUCCCCUCUUCUUAUCCUUUUGUAUAAUGGUCUUGUAAGAAUUUGGGGAUAUGUUUCAUGCGCUAAUGUGUUUGAUUCUAUUAAAGAUUGUACUUCUUGUU